rnacentral:rRNA from 1 species
UACAGAGGGUGCGAGCGUUGUCCGGAAUUACUGGGCGUAAAGCGUGCGCAGGCGGCGGCUCAAGUCAGGUGUGAAAUCCCCGGGCUUUAACCUGGGAAUUGCGCUUGAAACUAGGUCGCUAGAGUGUGGCAGAGGGGGGUGGAAUUCCACGGUGUAGCAGUGAAAUGCGUAGAGAUGUGGAGGAACACCGAUGGCGAAGGCAGCCCCCUGGGUCAACACUGACGCUCAUGCACGAAAGCGUGGGGAGCAAACAGG